UACAGAGGGUGCAAGCGUUAAUCGGAAUUACUGGGCGUAAAGCGCGCGUAGGUGGCCAACUAAGUCAGACGUGAAAUCCCUCGGCUUAACCGGGGAACUGCGUCUGAUACUGGAUGGCUUGAGUUUGGGAGAGGGAUGCGGAAUUCCAGGUGUAGCGGUGAAAUGCGUAGAUAUCUGGAGGAACACCGGUGGCGAAGGCGGCAUCCUGGACCAACACUGACACUGAGGAGCGAAAGCCAGGGGAGCAAACGGG
rnacentral:rRNA from 1 species